rnacentral:rRNA from 1 species
GACGAACGCUGGCGGCGUGCCUAAUACAUGCAAGUAGAACGCUGAAGAGAGGAGCUUGCUCUUCUUGGAUGAGUUGCGAACGGGUGAGUAACGCGUAGGUAACCUGCCUUGUAGCGGGGGAUAACUAUUGGAAACGAUAGCUAAUACCGCAUAACAAUGGAUGACACAUGUCAUUUAUUUGAAAGGGGCAAUUGCUCCACUACAAGAUGGACCUGCGUUGUAUUAGCUAGUAGGUGAGGUAAUGGCUCACCUAGGCGACGAUACAUAGCCGACCUGAGAGGGUGAUCGGCCACACUGGGACUGAGACACGGCCCAGACUCCUACGGGAGGCAGCAGUAGGGAAUCUUCGGCAAUGGGGGCAACCCUGACCGAGCAAAGCCGCGUGAGUGAAGAAGGGUUUCGGAUCGUAAAGCUCUGUUGUAAGUCAAGAACGGGUGUGAGAGUGGAAAGUUCACACUGUGACGGUAGCUUACCAGAAAGGGACGGCUAACUACGUG